rnacentral:rRNA from 1 species
UACAUGUGGGGCAAGCGUUGUUCGGAAUUACUGGGCAUAAAGGGUGCGUAGGUGGUUUGUUAAGUCAGUGGUGAAAUCCCGCGGCCCAACCGUGGAACUGCCUUUGAUACUGGCGAACUUGAGUGCGUGAGGGGUAGGGGGAACGAGCAGUGUAGCGGUGAAAUGCGUAGAUAUUGCUCGGAAGGCCAGAGCCGAAGGGGCCCUACUGGUGCGCAACUGACACUGAGGCACGAAAGCGUGGGGAGCAAACAGG